rnacentral:misc_RNA from 1 species
GCACAUUUUCAUGUCCUUUAUCUGACCCAUUUUGACCUUCCUUUCUCUAUAACCCUCGAUAGCACAGUUCCAGUUGUAGAUAGAUAACCAUUUAUGGCAUUUGCUUCGCUUGACUACAAAAAAUAUUAUAUAUAAAAUUCCAACUUCUGGCUCCCAUUCACGGUCUCUCAUCUCUUAUUGUUUUUUGUCACCCAUUUUAAGGCGUCUCUUUAAAAGACUGCAAAUAUGCCGACUUCCCAACACACAAUCAAUAUCUGCGUAAAGUCCAAGAACCUUAGCUCCAUGCAUACCCAUCCCUCUCACAGGGCUGCCUACUUUCUUGAUCAAACCACCCAUUUCUAUGUUUAAUGCCUUCAUAACCAAAACUACUGAUCCAUGAAGUUCUUACUCACCAUGACCCUUGCACACUUGCAUUUUAUUUAGUAUCUCUUUCUCUCUCUCUCCCUCUUAUCUUCUUCUUCUUCUUCU